AUUGAACGCUGGCGGCAGGCUUAACACAUGCAAGUCGAGCGGAGAUGAGGUGCUUGCACCUUAUCUUAGCGGCGGACGGGUGAGUAAUGCUUAGGAAUCUGCCUAUUAGUGGGGGACAACAUACCGAAAGGGAUGCUAAUACCGCAUACGCCCUACGGGGGAAAGCAGGGGAUCUUCGGACCUUGCGCUAAUAGACGAGCCUAAGUCGGAUUAGCUAGUUGGUGGGGUAAAGGCCUACCAAGGCGACGAUCUGUAGCGGGUCUGAGAGGAUGAUCCGCCACACUGGGACUGAGACACGGCCCAGACUCCUACGGGAGGCAGCAGUGGGGAAUAUUGGACAAUGGGGGGAACCCUGAUCCAGCCAUGCCGCGUGUGUGAAGAAGGCCUUUUGGUUGUAAAGCACUUUAAGCGAGGAGGAGGCGCUCUAGGUUAAUACCCUAGAUGCGUGGACGUUACUCGCAGAAUAAGCACCGGCUAACUCUGUGCCAGCCGCCGCCGUAACAC
rnacentral:rRNA from 1 species